UUAGAUGGACUUUUAUGUAGUCCCAUAAACA
rnacentral:tRNA from 1 species